UACGUAGGGGGCUAGCGUUGUCCGGAAUCAUUGGGCGUAAAGAGCGUGUAGGCGGUCCGGUAAGUCCGCUGUGAAAGUCGGGGGGCUCAACCCUCGAAUGCCGGUGGAUACUGUCGGGCUAGAGUACGGAAGAGGCGAGUGGAAUUCCUGGUGUAGCGGUGAAAUGCGCAGAUAUCAGGAGGAACACCGGUGGCGAAGGCGGGUCUCUGGGCCGAAACUGACGCUGAGGAGCGAAAGCGUGGGGAGCGAACAGG
rnacentral:rRNA from 1 species